rnacentral:rRNA from 1 species
UGGGGAAUUUUGCACAAUGGGCGCAAGCCUGAUGCAGCGACGCCGCGUGAGGGAUGAAGGCCUUCGGGUUGUAAACCUUUUUCGCUCAUGGUCAAGCCGCAGCUUUGGGUUGUGGUGAGGGUAGUGGGUAAAGAAGCGCCGGCUAACUACGUGCCAGCAGCCGCGGUAAUACGUAGGGCGCGAGCGUUGUCCGGAAUUAUUGGGCGUAAAGGGUACGUAGGCGGUUUUUUAAGUCAGGUGUCAAAGCGUGGAGCUUAACUCCAUUAAGCACUUGAAACUGAAAGACUUGAGUGAAGGAGAGGAAAGUGGAAUUCCUAGUGUAGCGGUGAAAUGCGUAGAUAUUAGGAGGAAUACCGGUGGCGAAGGCGACUUUCUGGACUUUUACUGACGCUCAGGUACGAAAGCGUGGGGAGCAAACAGG